AGCGAACGCUGGCGGCAGGCUUAACACAUGCAAGUCGAACGGGCAUAGCAAUAUGUCAGUGGCAGACGGGUGAGUAACGCGUGGGAACGUACCUUUUGGUUCGGAACUACACAGGGAAACUUGUGCUAAUACCGGAUAAGCCCUUACGGGGAAAGAUUUAUCGCCGAAAGAUCGGCCCGCGUCUGAUUAGCUAGUUGGUAGGGUAAUGGCCUACCAAGGCGACGAUCAGUAGCUGGUCUGAGAGGAUGAUCAGCCACAUUGGGACUGAGACACGGCCCAAACUCCUACGGGAGGCAGCAGUGGGGAAUAUUGGACAAUGGGCGAAAGCCUGAUCCAGCCAUGCCGCGUGAGUGAUGAAGGCCCUAGGGUUGUAAAGCUCUUUUGUGCGGGAAGAUAAUGACGGUACCGCAAGAAUAAGCCCCGGCUAACUUCGUG
rnacentral:rRNA from 1 species